AUAAUAAUUAGUUUUUUGAUUGGAAACUAGAAUGAAAGAUUGGAUAAGAAAUAAGCUUUUUUUUUUUAAUUUUAUUGAAUUUAAAUUUUUAGUUAAAAAGCUAAAAUAAUUUAAAAAGACGAGAAGACCCUAUAGAUUUUUAUUUAAUUUAAUAAAUUUAUUUUCUUAAAUUAAAUUUUAUUGGGGGGAUAAAAAAAUUUAAAAAACUUUUUAAUAUUUAGACAUUAAUAUAUGAAUUUGAAAGAAAAUUUUAAACUAUAAAUCAAAAUUAUUUUAUAAAUAAAGAUUAAAAUACCUUAGGGAUAACAGCGUAAUUUUAAUUUUAAGAUCAUAUUUAAAUUAAAGAUUGC
rnacentral:rRNA from 1 species